rnacentral:lncRNA from 1 species
AGACCCCCGAGGAAGAGGAGGAGAUCGAGAAUCCCUACCUGAGCCCCGAGGAGCGGGCGGCCAUGGGGACCCUGCGCGGGGAGCCCAGGGACAGCGCGGGGGGCCAGGCGUGGGUGGAGGGGGGCUCACUCCUGGGGACGCUGGGAGAUGAAAAAGCCAAACUGGUGGCCGGGGGCCCGGCUGAGCAGAGUGGGCUGUUCCGAGGGAACGUCCUCAAGGGCAUGGCGCUGCUCUCGCACUUUUUGGAGCAGCGGGCAGCUGGAGCUGAUGAGGGCAAGCCCUACUCCCGCCUGGACAACAGUGUCCUCUACAGCCGCUUCGUGUCCCCCAGCGCCGCCCUGCUCGAGCUGCCCGACGGCGACGGGGCCGCAGACUCACCCUGCCUCAGGGACCACAACGGGCUGGGCUCUGGUGGCCAUUCUGGCCCCGAGAUGGCCAUGCUGGAAGCUCUGAGUUCUGGCUCUGUCCCUCCCAUCACCGAGGAGCCAGAGAGCACCGUGACCCUGAGCCUGGACCGUGUCCUGGUGAGUGAAUCCUGCACGGCGCCCUGGGAAGUGCUCUCCUUCCCCGGGAGUGUGGGAAGCGGGUGGGGGCUGAACCCUGUUGCUUCCUGCCCUCUUCCCAACACUUGGCUUGUGCUUCUCGUCAGAGAGGCCAUGGGGUGAAAGUGCAGGUACUGGGAAAAGUGAUGGGAGGGCACUGGGAUGAGUCAUGAGAGGAUACUGGGAUGGGUGAUGGGAGGAUACUGGGAUGGGAGGACACUGGGAUGGGUGGUGGGAGGAUACUGGGAUGGUGGAUACGAGGUCAAGUGAUGGGAGGGUAGGAGGAUACUGGGAUGGGAGGACACUGGGAUGGGUGGUGGGAGGAUACUGGGAUGGUGGAUACGAGGUCAAGUGAUGGGAGGGUACCACCACGGCUGCUGGGAGGGUCCCGGGCAGGUGGCAGGAGGGUCGGGGGCAGACGGGAGGCUGAUCCGCAGCAGAGCAGGAAUGCUCGAGGUGUGGCUGCUCGGGGCGGUGGGAGGGCCGGGCAGACGCCCAGACGCGAGGCUGCGAUGGCUGCUGCAUCCCGUGUCCCUCCGUGCUCCUCACCCGCCCGUCCCCUUUCCUCUUCACAGCAGGAGGAUAAGGAGGGCUUGGAGAAGAUCAACACAAGACCUGGCAAGGUACAGGGAGGGCGGCGGGGCCGGGCUGGGCUGGCUGGCGGUGUGGCAGCACUUCCUUCCGUGUCACCCCUUCCCAGAUCAUCCUGUACUCCGACGCCGGCUUCGCGGGGCAGAAACGGGAGAUCUGGGACGAUGUCCCCGACGCCACGUCCUGGGAGCUGUCUCACACCAUCUCCAUCCGAGUCAUCCGAGGCGGGUGGGUGAUGUACGAGAAGCCGCGGUUCCGCGGGCGCAAGUGCGUCCUGGCCGAGGGGGACGUGGAGAUCGACAACCCCUGGGCGGCGUACGGGGACAGCAAGGGGGACAGCGAAGGGGACAGCGGGCAGCGCCGCGGCAGCCGCCCGUUCCGCAUCGGCUCCUUCAAGCGGGUGGUGCGGGUGAGUGCAGCGACCCCCGAGCCCCCCGGCGCCCCCCGGCGCCCCCCGGGCGCAGCGGGCGGAGCCCCGAACGCCGCUGUUGCCGCAGGAUUACCGCACCCCCGAGAUCAGCCUGUUCGCCCAGGAGAACGGCGAGGGCGCCCGGCUCCGGUUCA